GAUCAGUCAAGGAAUGAGGUUCGCUCUGCUAGACGGUAAAACUUGAGGUGGAAUUUUCUUCAAAUUUGCUUAAUCAUUUUGUGUAGUGAUAUAAAAAAAAGUUUGUGUUAAAAUGUUCCGUUUCUGUUCGACGACCAAGAAAAUUUUACAGCUCGACGAUGAAGCCGAAACAAAAUGGCGAUCGAAAUGCUGUGUGGCAGCAGGCGAUGAUUACAUGCCGGUCGGAACGUAGGUUUGAUUUGUGAAACGUCGUGAUAAUCGAUGCAAAGUCGAAGUUCUAGUUUGUUUGAUGAAGUAAUGUGAAUAUAGGUAUAAAGGUGUGGCGUGACUCCAGUCACAAUCACCCAUAACUCCAGUUACACUCACGCCUUGGAAAAUUGGUUUCAGUCGGUGUGAUUUCGGAAAUCCGGCGAAGCAACUGCCGCGGACUACCGGUGCGGUCAAGCAUUUCAAGAUCGAUAUCAACGGUAAAAGUUGCAAAGCGGACAUUCGAAGUUUAUCGAUCGAUCGUCCUGACAGGCCUGUCUGGAUCGACUACAUGCUGGACGGAAGUAGUGCUGCAAACCUACCACGAACAGUUUGUGGUUGUGAAUUCAACUGCAAAUCUUUGAAAUUGUCAUUUAGUCUGGUUUCUGGCAAUAUAGGUAACCAGUAGAGCUAGAUGGUCUGGCCAGAGAUGCCAGGUAAAAAUUUCAAAUGUCUGCAGGCAGGGUCUGUAAAUCUGAAAAAAAAUCUGCAGUCAGCAAGUAUGGCUUGCUGGCAGCAAUUUCUCUAUAAAGUAUGAAAUGCAAAACUGACUUGGCGAGCAAAAAAAAAAAAAAAGGUCGCGGAAAUUUCAAAUUUUUCUGUAAAUAUAGAUGAAAGUCAGCGAGAAUUUCAAAAGUCUGUAAAAGUCUGCGAGAAUUUCAAAAGUCUGCAAAAGUCUGCACAACAAAAAAUGUCUGCAGCACUAUACCCCAAAUCUGCAGAUUUACAGACAAAUCUGCAGACCUGGCAUCUCUGGGUCUGGCUCAUUUUUUUUCUUCUUACUAAUGCUUCAACAUAUUCCGGUAAAGUAGUUUGUUUUCGGACAAUUCUGCUUCGGUUGUGGUGCGAGAACCCAAACUAUUUUGGCGCUUUCUUACAAGAUUCAGUAACUGCAUCGUGGUGCAGUAUCAACCUAGGCGUGCCUAAUUCGAUUCUUACUACGUCAACUUAAGACACCUUCAUUGGUGUUGUAGAAUGGCUGCAUGUCAUCGUGCUUCGUAGAAAUGUUUGCAUCUACCGAAAAUGUUCGUUGCGGACGGUUCCUGUUCUGUCUGUUUUUGGUCACACGCUUCGCGCUGGAUUGUGACCCGGAGCUUGUGGAAGCCAGGAGCAUCGCAUCAAACAAGUAAAUUAGUUUUAAGGCAUUACCAGCAGCAGCAGGCUUCAUAGGGUAUUACAAUAAUAAGUUAAAUAGUAGUUAUGUGCGGUUACAGAGAUAUUAACUUUACAUAAGGUCUGUCGUCUAAUGAUGAAUCAAAUUCGAAUUGCUUAUAAUCGAUAUCUACGACUAACCAGUGUCUGAUUUAGAUCAAGAAAUCUAACGAUCUAUGUAAUCCUGUCGGCAAAAUAUUUUUUACACAAAUUCCAAAGCAGCAUUAAGAGCAAACCAGUUCUCGGCGCAAUAGUUGUAACAGUGAACUUAUUCAAAUUCGUUCAAUUUCUGUCAAACCAGACCAGAUUGGCAGACAUUUUAGGUGGAAAACUAACAACUUGUGCUAAACCGACAUGACUAAUAUUUGUUGCAGUUCUGUGGCAUAAUUUAACACAGUAGAAACUAUCGUUUCUAUUGAAAUCUAACUCACGUCGUCAAUUUUAUUACUAGCUUUGACUUUUUUUCCACUACGUAAACCGAUCGAUCGAGAAACACGUUGCAAAUAAGGUAUAAUACCAUCAGCUUCAAUUUCUAUUAAAAUCGGAACGUGGCCACUCAGAUUCGUCACGUAAAAUAUUCAAUUCCAAGUGAGUUUGUUUUAAUGAUUUAAUAAAUUUUGUCAUUUGCAGAGAUUUCAACUGGCACUUCUUGCAUCUGUCUGGGAAGGCACUGAUGGUAGCCCUGCGCACAUCUGUGGCACACUUUUAUUUCUAAUGGAUAAAGAUAAAAAAUUUAAGGACACUUACCAAUGCUGCUGGCUUGUAGCAGUGAAGCUGGAACCACUAUUCCUCAACUUAAAAGCCUGUCGUAAACUGCACUCAUAUUCGUGAUCUUAGUGAUCAUCAACUUUUUUCCUAUACUCCCUACAACUCUACUAAGACUUUACUUUACUAGCCCUGUCUAACUAAAAACACUCGUAUCUCACCGGAGCCUCCAAUGUUCGAACUGAGGCGUGAUCCUUCGAUCCGGCAGGAAUAUCUUAGAGUGCUGCUCUUGCACGCCAAGCUCUACCUGUUGGCAGAUCAGCUCAGUUCUGUAUUUCUGUCGACAGUUCGAGACUGACAGAAGUGACCACUUCGAAUCAGCUAGAGUAAAAUCUUGACUCUUGCUACCAGCCUCUCCACUAAUGCCAGCUUGUGACAAGGGAUUCUAAGAGGGGGCGCGUCGGAGCCGAUUGUAGGCCGUAUAAAUCUGGUCUUCCGCGGUUUCUCGGCCAGAGACCAACUUGUGAAAAAUGGCUUGUAACUAAACUCAGCCUAUUUCAGUGAGCAAAGAGUGAGAAAGACGCUUCCAACCAAAUCCAUUCGACACUAAAAUCAGCAAGUCAUGAUUCUCUCAGCUGAGCUAAGUUGAUUUGAACGAUCGCUUUUUGAAAUUCUGGAUUUGAACUUGUUGAGAUGAAUGAAAUUUGCCGGGUAAUUUGGCAAAUUCUAAGUCGUGCUGGAACACAGACUUUUUUUUACUGUUUUUUGGCUAUCGGUGGUAAAAUGUCUAAAUCUAUGUAUUUUCAAUAAUAUUCUAUUUAUUAUUCUACUUCAGAUUCGUUCAAUUUCUGUCGAACCAGACCAGAUUGAUAGACAUUUUAGGUGGAAAACUAUCGAGUUGUGCUAAACCGACAUGACUAAGUUCUGUGGCAUAAUUUAACACAGUAGAAACUAUCGUUUCUAUUGAAAUCUAAGCAUAGGGGAAAAAUCACGUCGUCAAUUUUAUUACUAGCUUUGACAUAUUUUUUCCACUACGUAAACCGAUCGAUCGAGAAAGUGUCGAAAAUACUUCACCGUAAGCCGUACUGUGUUUUUUUUUACACUUUCCAAUUAAGCUAUAAUACCAUCAGCUUCAAUUUCUAUUAAAAUCUGAACGUCUCAACAACUCCCUCGUCGCCACUGUAAUGUUUCUGCUUGACGGAUUAAUACUCACAAUGCACACAUAUUCCUAUGCAUACUGUAUCAUACUCCGCUACUGAACUAGCCACUAACUCUUGGAGCAAAAAACUACUUAAUUCGUCUACCGGGUCAACUCCCGUGACUAGCGCCUAGUUACCGCACUCUGUAAAAACUGAACUGGCCCCUAACUUUUCCCAACUAGGGGUUUUUAAGCUCCUAACAUUUCACUAACUGUUCGGCCUAAACCCGAGACCAUCGUGACCGUUACCGCGGUUGUCCGUGAAGUUUCUUUGCUUACGCAGGGCACCUCAGUGUCGCGCAAACAAAAACAUCUCAGCAACCCCGAGCGCAUUCCAAGAGCGUGUAAAUAAAAACUGCUGCGCCAAUGCAAACCAGCAAUGCACCAUUGCAAUUUAUGUACGUUUAUUCACUAUAAGAUUUGUCACGUAUUGAUAUUAAGCUGCAUUAUACUUCGAUGACACAACCAGACACAAAUAUCGAAUGUUCCGUUGCGUUUGAUAAAAAUACUUUUUUACUCUCUUAACUCUCGGAUUGAACUGACUAGCCUGUCUUGUCUGAAUGUUCGUUAAACCUGACUACCUAGCCCUAAACUGUUGCAUCAGCAGUCAUCCUGUCCGAACAUAUCGAAGUCGUCGAUGCGGCGUGGUGGUUUCGGCUGAUGCAAUUACUAAUGGUUCUUGGCAAAUGCAUCCACGAUGGUCGGAUGUCUGCUGCAAUGUCAGCGGUUCGAUAAUUGGUAACAGGGUGGCUGACGUCUCCACGCGUACUUUGCUGACGUCUGUGCGUACGGGCCAUAUGUUAUUCGGGUUCGUCCAUAACAAGUGACAAUUGACUUUUCCUAACUAUUUACUGUUAUAUAAUGGGGCUUUCUUUCGAGCAGCUUCACUCGGAAGAGGUUGACUGUAGACUAACUUUAUUUUCGGAUUUCUUACUCGAGCUCUAGAAUUUCCUUUUAAGUCAUAUUUUACAAUUCUUCUUACCGUCAUUUAACGAAAUUUGUUGGUAUGUAUAGAUAACAUGAGGUAAUAGAAUGCGAAUCCGGUCAUGAUUUGAGAACAGAUCCGAUUGCGGUUUGGAAAAUUGGCAAAUUUCUAUGAACCUGAUGAAACAAAUUACCAAACCAACAAAAGUGAUUUCUAUUAGAAUUUUACUAUUCCUUGAAACCUCCCUCGUCGCCAGUUGUUAUGUCCGGCUUGUGAAAUAUUGUCAGGCUGACUAGUAAUAAUUCUAGUCAGUGACGAUAUCCUGCGCAAAUUCCUUUCUUAUUCGAGAAUUCCCCUUUGUGUUCCUGGCGAGAUGACUUCCUUCCUCCUGUGGUGCCUUGGUGGUGACGUCCCUUGGAAUUUCUUUCAAACUGACUGAAACACACUGGUGGUUGAGGCUGUUCUAAAACUCAUCUAAGACUAGUUUAUUUCAAUUUUCUUAAACUAUAUAUACAUACAUUUUGAAAUGAAAAUGUUGCGCGAUGAUAAACUGCCUGUCUGAUAUUGUUCUGUACAUAUGCCACAUUCCUUUUCCAGAGUAGUCAAACUGUAGCAUGAAAUCAGGAAUUACAGCAUCUGUGAUUUUAUCUCCAAAGUUGAAAGUGGUCUUGCCUUCCUUAUCUUUCAUAGGGCCCACAGUGUCUCUCCAAUUUCUCAUGGGUACAUGUUCAUCCAUUGAUGCUCUAAGCAUUAUCCAUGGAAAGCAUGCCUUUCUUGCUUGUUUUAUUGUUCCAAAAGCCGAAAUGUCGAGCAUAUGUGUUAUAAGUUGCUUGUGGGCAUUGCGUGACCCUUUUAAUUUCUUCACAAUAAGAUCUAUAUAGGGAAUUUGAGCAAAAGAGCCCACCGCUGUCACCACAAUGCGUUGUCCCGAGCGGCGAGAGGGGUAUUUCUUUCAAUGCACUAGACCGCACUUUAAAUUCUUUCUUUCCUUUUUAUUCUUCUAAUAACUUUUACACUUUAAUGCCCUAACUAUCCUACAGCACAUAAUUUUGUGCCUGACCUAACUCCUAUGUUAAUCAGUGAACAACUUAAACUUUUCUUUUCUUAACUACUGCUUUUGGCCCGAGUAAUGGUGUCCAAGUUUGAUUACGGUGUUACCCGGUCGCCCAAGGAGCAUUACUCUUACAGUAGAAUUAAGGCCUUGUUCAAACCAAAAACCGACCCUUUUAUACUCCAAUCUAUGUAACUAACAAAAAGCUAUAUUUAUAUAUAUGUCUGGUGGACUAACUACCACCUAUAACUACCUACGUGAAUUCACUGCGAUCGCGUCGCUUAUGUACAUAAUCAAUUAAUUCGAUCGGUGAUACAGUUUUUUCUGGCUGAUGCAAUAUGUUGAAAUAGCCAGCCGUGGGCAUUGCAAUAACUCUACUGGUCUACUGUCUGUACUAGCUAAGAUAUAGAUUUCUAUGAAAAAAUUAGGGCUGCUGCACUAUUCGUCAGCACGGGUAAACAAAUUCCUGGUGCCUCACUACUACAUAAAAUUUGAUCAGAUGGUUGCACUUGCAUUUCGUGCUAUCCCACGCUAUUCCCUAACGGCUGCAAUUGCCCUCCUAGAAGGUUCAAGUUCAAGUUCAAAUCUUGCUUAGCCGUCCUAUCUAAACAUAUGCGGCACCUUAUCUGUAUGCUUGAAGAGCAUGUUAAUCAUUUCACCAGAUGUUUCCAUGACGGUUGCUAGAUCGUCGAUUUAUUAGAGAUGCAUUUAUGACUUUAUUACCACAACCCUCCGAGAGCAAGUUCUAACCGAUAUUUGUUAUCGUUCCCUUUUGGCGUUUGUUUAGGUUUUGUUCCUUCGCAUUUCGUAAUGGUCCUUGCUAGUUAAUUUACAUUGCCAUCAGCACCAGCUUAUCUGGUGUCUCGACCCGAACUUAGGCUUCCGCCGCUACAUGAAUCAGUGCAAUAUUAAUGCAUACGGGAUGCGAGAUUUGAUGGGUAAAUAACAGCUUUCAUGACUGCGCUGGGAACGAACAAUCGGGACAAAUCACUUCUCAUGAUAAGUGCUCCUUUAAGCACGUUUUUUAUAUUUUCCUUUUUUUUUUGGUUGAUAAAUAAAGUCUAUUAAUGCCAGCAUUUAAUGAAUGCGAUUGUAGCAAGCACUAUGCUCGACAAAUAUACUAUAAAUUCUAGAAGCUUUUGUAAAAUUUCGGCCUGAUCGAUGCUUCUUGUUUCGGACUACGUUUUGGUUGUUUCUGCUUCGAAGACUCAAACGUUCUUUAGCACGAAGAAUAUUUGACUUCGAAGUGCCCACUUUUUUUUGCCACAUCCCGAACUGAAACCUCCUUCUUUUGCUCGAACGCCUUCAGUAUACGUUUAUCCAACUGAGGGUUAGCAGGACCUAUAUACUUAUCUUCCGGGGCAGAUGGUCCUCUCGGGUUGUGGCAAAGCUGAUGAGCGGAGCUGACGGUCGUCCUACCGGGCUGUGAUGCACAAGAAAAAGGCUCUCGCGGUUUCGAAUAUAGACUCGGUUUAUUUACAAAAACUAUAGCUAUUUAUACAUAUUUCUCCUUCCAAUACUAUAGCAACAUUAUAGUUGCGUUCUCUUUCUAGCUAUCUUCCUAGCCGUCAAACAAAUGGAUAAACUGCUUAUCGGUUUUCCACAUUCUUCUUGUACCCUAACCGGUGUAGUCGUCCACGGUAUGAGUAAUCCGGUUGGGCCCUAAAACUUUGUUUACAUUACUUUCCCGCCUACUUCGCAGUUCGGGAUUUUGUGUUAUACCUGCUGUCAGCUGAAUUGAUUUCUCGGCACAGACACUUGUUCAAGAUUUCGGUAGACUUUUCCAUAUCAAAGUUCUGAGCGGACCUGAGAGUCAGUGUUUUGACGAGGAGCUCCUAAUCUCACUUUUCUCCUCUUAGAAUACCAACAGUACGAAGAGGUUUUUCUGAACCAAUCGUUCUCAACGGAUUGAUAUGAGGCUGGCUCGUUCGGAUACUUUGACGAAGGUUUACGGAUAGUUUCGAAUUAUAACACUUCAGUGCGACUUUUGCCAAACCUCAAAUUGAAACAACCCUCUUCCGCUGGCUGUAAAAUUAGGACUGAUUUAUUACUUCUGAAUUAUUGCUACAGUUCGUAUUAGACAAGUUCUUUCAGACAAUGAUAUUAGAAUCCACAACAUCAAAUUCGACUGACUUCAAACCCGGCAGUUUCGUUGUUUUCUGGACAAUACUUUUCCUUUCCACUGUCAUCUUUCACAGCUUUUAAAAUCGUUUCAAGUUAAUUUCUGUUAAAACUCUUAGAUCAGACUUUUUUCUACUGUUUUUGGCUAUCGGUGGUAAAAUGUCUAAAUCUAUGUAUUUUAAAGUUUUUCGCUGAAAUGAUUUAAUUUAAUUUGCCAAUUGACCUGAUUAAACAAAACGAACAGACGAAAUCAACAACAGUAAUUUCUAUUAGACUUUUAGGAUUCAUUGAAACCUCCCUCGUCGCCAGUUGUUAUGUCCUGCUUGAUAAAUAUGCGGAUUGUACCUAAAUGGGAAAGAGAGAAAUUUGUUUGAUUAAUAUCGAUACUUCUCUGGAGGUUCCGGUGAGAUGGCUUCCUUCUUGGUUGUUUCUUUAAAAAUAAAUAAAUAAAUCACUGCAGAUGACUAAAAACGACUCUCUUUAUCGACAGUGACGGUAUCAUAAAAAAAACACGUCUUGCUCGAUUUCUGAUAAGUCUGCGUUUAUUUUUCAUAAUUCUUACACAUUUCACAUAACUGCAUAACUACACAUUUUCGGUUGAUGAAUAUUAAUACCGGCUGUAAAGAAUGCAAUUGUAGCGGAAUGGAAUUUUCUUAUGUUUUCAUCAUACAUUUUUUCCAUCACUACAGAAUAUAUGUGGAUGCUUUGAACAACCCGCAUUCGGAUGCAAUCAUGUUGUGAUACACCGAAAGUGUUGCGCGACAAAGCAGAUGUUACGCUCGAACCUUUUCUGACGUGUGGAAAGUAGAAUCAAAUCCAAACAACACCAACAUCUUUAAUUUUCAUUAACGUCUCUUCGAUUGGGAAAACCUCCCUCGUCGCCAGUUGUAAUGUCUUGCUUAGUCUAUUUUCUACGCUGCCGAUCGAAAGUCCCAUCUAUUGUGGGGACCUGGAUUUUCUCGUCACAAUCAUUGUUGUCGUCAUAUCACCAACUUUGAUUUCUAUUAAAUUAUAAGUGCUAGGAGAAAAAAUCCCUCGUCGCCACUUUUAUGUAUUCACUUUGUUGUUUCUCGAUGAAACUUCUCCGCCGGUCAGCCAACGUUGCGGGUUGAACACUAGUUUGUUAGUUUGAAUUUAGAACAAAAGUUCCACGUGUUGGGUUUUUGUUAUAAUAGUAAACUUUCACUUCACUAGUUAGAGUUUCUUCAUGAAUGUAUUUUAAAAAAAAACAUUACACUUUAAUUUACAUGUAAUUCUUACGACCGAACUGUUUCACUUCUCGAAUCGAAUUGACUAUCUUGUCCUGCCUGAAUGUUCGUUAGACCUGACUACCUAGCCCUAAACUAUUGUAUCAGCGGUUAUCCUGUCCGAACAUGUCGAAUCGUCGAUGCGGCGUGGUGGUUUCGGCUGAUGCAAUUACUAAUGGCUCUUGGCUGAUGCAACCACGGUGGCCGGAUGUCUGCUGCGAUGUCAGCGGUUCAAUAAUUGGUAACAGGGUGGUUGACAUCUCCACGCGUUGGAUACACUGGCGUCUUACUGCUGGCGCGUACUUUGCUGAGGUCUGUGCCUACGGGCCAUAUGCUAUUCGGGUUCGUCCAUAACUUAAUAUCGAUACUUCUCUAGAGGUUCCGGUGAGAUGGCUUCCUUCUUGGUUGUUUCUUAAAAAAUAAAUAAAUAAAUCACUGCAGAUGACUAAAAACGACUCUCUUUAUCGACAGUGACGGCAUCAUAAAAAAACACGUCGAUUUCUGAUAAGUCUGCGUUUAUUUUUCAUAAUUCUUACACAUUUCACAUAACUGCAUAACUACACAUUUUCGGUUGAUGAAUAUUAAUACCGGCUCUUCAAAAUGCAAUUGUAACGGAAUGGAAUUUUCUUACGUUUUUACAUACAUGUUUCCAUCACUACAGAGUAAAUGCGGAUGCUUUGAACAACCCCAUCGCAUUCGGAUGCAAUCAUGUUGUGAUACACAGAAAGUGUUGCGCGACUAAGUAGAUAUUACGCUCGAAACUUUUCUGACGUGUUGAAAGUGGAGUCAACUCCAAACGAUACCAACAGCUUUAAUUAUUAUUAACGUCUGAUCAAUUAGAAAAACCUCCCUCGUCGCCAGUUGUAAUGUCUUGCUUAGUCUAUUUUCUACGUUGCCGAUCGAAAGUCCCAUCUAUUGUGGGGACCUGGAUUUUCUCGUCACAAUCAUUGUCGUGUUUCGACUAGUUCGAACGAGCUCGUCAUAUCACCAACUUUGAUUUCUAUUAAAAUAUAAGUGCUAGGAGAAAAAAUCCCUCGUCGCCACUUUUUUAUAUUCACUUCGUUGCGUGACGUUGCAGUCUUUUGAUGACCACCUCCAUGACGUUUUGCGAUGCUACCAGUAUUUUUGUAACGAGUUAUGGUGCGAUAAACCAAAACUUUAUUCACUUUAAGGUGUUUGAGCUCACGAACAAUCGCUGGUUGUGAUUUUCCAUCUAAAUAUAAAGCAAUCACACUAUUACGUUUUAAAUCCAUCACUUUUGGCAAAAUGCUUUCUUGCGCUUGUAAACAAUACAACUCCGAAUUGUCAUUUAGCAAAUUUCUAGAGAGCUGAUGCCCGUGUGUCAGCUGCGCGAGCGGUCUGAAGUUGGUUACAAUUCGAGUGCCGAACCCUGUACAGCGACACGUUGGAGGGCCAAACCAUUAACCAAAAUGUUGUACGUUCACUUUUACAAAUCUAAUUCAGUGAGUGUUCGCUAAUUUUGAUUGGGUCUUGAAAAUCAUUCAGUAACAAGUAUAUUGUUACUAUCGUUAUACUAUGUUCACACUACGAGUUUUAACUAUGAUUUCAUGUUUUAAACGAAAUAACAUGUUUUACUUUUGUUUUCUCUAAAUAACAUGAUAUAAUUGUCAGUAAAGCACAACCCUGCUAGCAUUUUCCGUCACUUUUCGAUUGUGUCAAUUGACAAGCUGUUCAACAGCAGCAGUUUUCCAUCAAAGCAGCCAUGUAAUCAUAAUAAAACAAAACUGAAAAUUGGUACAACCGUUUUUGUUUUUUUUGUAUUAUGACGUUUGGUCAUUUGUUGCUCACUUCUUGAAGUCGGAGAUGCAAUCUUUAUUUUUUUCUCUGUAGAUUUUCCUCCGAAUGAUUACAAACUAUACUAUGAAAUUUCCGGAACACAACAAGUAAAGAUCAACCGCAACUCUGUCUUGAAGAGUACAUAAUUUCUGCGUGGUAGACAUUUUUGCAUGUAAUGUCUUCCUUACUCUACUUCAUACGGAUCCCUCAGAAUGAAGUGUGGUCUAAAUGUUGCCGAUCGAAGGUCAUCCCACGGUUUGGAGUUUCUUCUCACGGUUAUUGUUGUGUUUCGGCAAGUUUUAUCGAACCUGCAAGUGGUACCUCUAACUUUGAUUUCUAUUAAAAUUCAAGCGCUACGGCAAGAACUCUCUCGUCGCCACUUUUAUGUCUUGCUUUGAUUGAUAGUUAACUGUUAGUCGUGUUCUAUUAUUUUAUUCUACUAAAUGUUUUUACUAUGUUAAGUAAACCAGUACUAUUAAGUUAUUAAGUCCAAUGGAGAAGGCGUCUACUUGGUUUCACUUGUCUUGUAGGGUUUAUUUUCGAAGAGAUAAAAAUAAAGGGAACCAUCCCUUUUGAUUGUUCAGUUAAGAUUGAUUUUAAUUUCUAUUAAAGAAUAUAUAUAUUCAUCAGCAACUUCUCUAAUAGUGAUUCGGCGAUCAUCCAUAAUCAUUUUUUCCACUUUUCCCACAUUUUCAUCGAUUAUUGACGUGCUGGGUCGACCGGAGCGUUCGUCGUCUUCAACGUCUUCGCGGCCAUCUUGGAAACGCUUAUACCACUCGUAAACACUUGUUUUUUUUCAUAGCAGACUCACCGUAGGCUCUCUGUAACAUUUCGCACACUUGGUUACACUUUAUUUCAUUUUUCACGCAAAAUUUAAUACAAAUUCUUUGACUCUUCAAUUCCAUUCUUCCAUUGUUUAAACUAACAAAAAUCGCCGAGCUCAAAAAAACACGUCUACACCAGCCGCUACAAGACAGAAUGUAAACAAUGAAUACAGCUGAAAAUUUCACCAUACAUUAGGGACAUAUGUACCAACACAAUAAAAAAAAAUUUUGACCACCGGACUCUCCAGACGCGCGCAAUCAAAAAAUUCCGGGAACUUUUUGAACAGACCUCGUAAAUGUUAGGAGCAAAACUUCCUCGUCGCCACUUUUAUGUAUCAUCUUUGAAAAUUUCCAAACUACUUUCGGAAGUUUUUUUUUAAUAAAACAAUCUCACUAACCGUCCGGCGGGAGUACUGAAUUAAAACUUGGACUACACGGAUUUGGAAUCCAACCACUAGAAUUUCUAUUGCAUAAUUUAAUGGAGAAUAUCUCCUGGGUCCAUAACCUGUUGGAAGGACAUUACUGGGUCCAUAACCUGUUGGAAGGACAUUACUGGGUCCAUAACCUGUUGGAAGGACAUGUUACUGGGUCCAUAACCUGUUGGAAGUACGGUUUAGUCUUUGAAGGGAGAAUGUGAGAAGAAGAGAAAGUGAUAAUAAAUCAUUCUAUAAUAAGUCAUGUGGCAUGAAUCCAGGUCGAGGUCGGUAUCGACAAGAAACGAGCUGGUAACAGGAAGGGAACGAACUGUUUGCAUGUGGAAUGAUUUGUCAUCACAACUGUCGUAUGACUUAAUAUGUUUGUUUGCGUCAAGCGCAUGAUAAUACUUUUAAUGUUUAAUAACUGUCUAAUCUGUUCAAGCUAUUCAACAUAAUGAUUUUUUAUUUGCCGGAAAAAUCUAGAUUAUGAGAUGCUUGGUAUGAUACUGGGGUAGAUCCUAAUGCACAGCCAUCAUACAUGAUCUCGUCUCUAGGUGGUGUCUCUACUGUAGAUGGAACUACAGUAGUGGUGGUUUUCUUCAUUGCGGGGGGUUUUGGUUGUGGGGGUUGUCGAGCUUGCCGAAGCUUCUCAUUAGACUCCAUCUCCACUUCGGAUUGCCUCGCCCAAUUUCUUUCGUCAUCAGCUCGUUUCUGUCGGAAAUCUGCCAUCCUAUGCACAUCACGUAAACGCGGUGGUCUCGUUUGCCUACCGGGUAGUCCACGGUUGCGGGCUUGCGAGUCACUUUGUUGAUUGUUCGCCAUAACAGCUUUUGCAAAUUGACAUAUUUUCGUUUUAAUAACUUUAGUCGAUAAAACGACAAACGGGUUCGAUUCCUGAUGUGAUCAAGGAUCUUCCCGGGUUGGAAAUAUUCUUGAUUAACCCUGGAUAGUAAAUCCGAAAUAUUUAAAUGUUAUGUUGUGGUCAGUCGUUCUUUUGAAGAAAAAUCUAUACCUGCUAGAUUAAUCAGAUCGUUUUCUUUUGUUUACUGGUUAACAUAUGUGCAAAAAUAUUAAUUAUCAUUUAGAUAACUCGUUCUGCUCACACCUUUGUAGGGGUAUGAGGUGGGACCAUCAUCAUCACCGUGAUUAACUCCUAUUCGGAGCCUUUUUUUCAGUGAUGUUGAAACGAUGGAUAACUGAAGAAACGUCGAGUGACACUUUUGCUUUCUCUCACUGCACUUUGAACAUGAAGUCCUAAGUUUAAGAUGUACCCACCUAAUUACAAAAUCGUUUAAGGGUAUCGACCUCUGGAGGACGUUGACCUCUUAUCAAAAUUAGGAAUUUCGGCAGUUUACUAAACUAAUUUGCUGAAUUGUCUAAAAUCGAAUGCGGAAAACUUUGCAGUCAUUUAUUUGUUCUAUCUCGAUGAUAAGCAGAUUGUUACUUGCGUUAUACAUGUUAUCAAUGUGUAAUACUUACUUAUCUUAUCUUGUCCUAUCUUAUCUUAUCAUUUAAUUAAACAAAAAAAUAUAUACAUUUGAUUUCAAUUUGGAAGUAGUUCGAAAUCAGUUUGAAAAUAAUUCGAAAUCUGAGAUUAGUCCCGGAUUUAAAUGAUACAACAGCUGGCAUACCGCCGUAUCUCGUCAAUGAACGAUCGCCUCCGACUCGGAUGCACCUCUGAAAGGCAGCAUAAGCAAUACUCGGGAAUACGUCUAAGAAUUCUAAAAAAAAUCAAGAAUAACUACGCUUUUUUAUAAUUAAAAAAAAAUUUAUUAAAAUUAUUUUUAAAAAAUGAUUAGUAGAAAUGAGAGUGAGAGUGCUUAGCUAAACUUGGUUUGGUUUAAUAUUUGUCUGGAAAAUUUGCGAAACAAGUAACCACCAGCAACCAAGGGUGGCAAAAACUCGCUCAUAAGAUUCGAUUUUUUCUAUUAAUCAGCUCACCUCAUGAUUUACGAUGCAAUCCGUAAAAUGAUGGUAAAGAUGAAACUCAUCGCUGAUCUAAGCAAACACACUCACCUAUACAGAGCACCGCUGACAUCAAAUUAUGAUGGUAUUGAUGGUUCUCAGUUUUGAUUUCAUAGCAUUUAACUCUCAUUCCUAGUUUUAAAAAGUGAGUACUGAGUUUGGCAUCACCGUACCGAGCUACACCGGUGAGUGUAUGCCUAAACCACAGAGCUGCCAACACGACCCAGCUUUGCGGUUUUGUUUUUGCUGGUACUCAAAGCGAGCACGUACGAAAACAAAAGUCGAAUCGUAGCGUGAUGUUCCGUAGCGAUUGAAUUUCAUGUCUCGAGCUAAACACAACUGGCUACUAAAAUCGAAUGCGUUUUCCAGCAUACGAAAACAUGUCUUGAGAAUUGGAUUGAAAUGGCAUCGAUUCGAACGUUGGCCGCCCAUGACAACUCUGUUGGAUGGGGAAUACAAGCGAGACAGUGUCACAAGAAUCUGAUUCAAUGUGUUGAUGUACAAACACAUCAAAUCACAACUCACAAAUCGUCGCUCAGUGGGUUCUAAUAUUUGAUGUGCACUCAGCGCUCAUCUGCUGAUUGCUUGACACUACGAUGUUGAGACGAUGUUUUCUCUACACAAAUGGUUACCCAGUUACUCAACUCGCUCAGCGAUGCUUCUGAAACCGAUUUGCAGGUGAGCUGAACUCGGUGAUGAUGAAGUACGGAGUUGAUUAUUGCCAGCCCUGCCAGCAACAAUAAUUUCUAUUGGUAUACUAGCAUUCCGAGAACGUUCCCUCGUCGCCAGUUGUUGUGUCUGACUUCCGUUCACUGAACUAGAUUGAACAUUUCCAUUUUUCUGAUGUUUGGUUCUGUAAUGAAACUUUUUUCUCGACUGAUGAAAGUUUUGAUUUUGAUCUGAUAAAAUAAAUAAAAUUUCAAUAAUGUAGAAUGAUUAUAAGGCACUUUCGCAACGCAAGCGUAGUGUUGUUUUAUCGGCAAGUUUAAUUUCUAUUAAAAUUUGAAUUAAUAUAAGCGGAAAACUCCCUCGUCGCCACUUUUUUGUAUCACUUUGACUAUCACUAUCACUUUUCGAGUCUUAUUCCGCACUACACUUUAUACGCUAACCUGCGUACUCACUUGGAACGAAUGUUCGAUUUUUAGUGCGCCUGACUUAGGCCGCACUACACUUUAUACGCUAACUUGCGUAUUCACUCAGAACGAAUGUUCGAUUUUUACUCCACUAGGCUGAUUCACUUUUCAGGUCUUAGAAGACCUGGGUAGCACUUUUACUUAGGUAACUCUUUUUGACUUUUCCUCUCUGGAUUAAGCCACCAAACAAUGUGGGGCUCGUUCUUUCUUUACGAUUUAAGAGUUUUACUUUUGUACUGCUACUACUGUUUAUUAUUAACAAAUUUUGCUUAUAUACUACGAGUUAGAACAGACUUACGUUUAAUGUUAGUUCUUAAUUUAUUACGCGCUUGCGCAUAAGCCUGAAUUUCGUGUUUCUUACCUUCCUAGGCUUGUGCGCAUGCGUGGUUAUGCUAUAAGGAAGAGAGAGAACACAGGCAUUCAACGACCCCUUAUUCCUUCUUUUCCUUACGUUGCCCAGCUUGCGAUCCCAACUAUGACAAGUUAAAUCCAGCUGUUUCUCCUCCCUUCAAGGAGGUCAUUCACUUGUCUCGAGGCAUGUGUUUUAUGCUAUUCCUUCCUUCUUCGAGGAGGUCAUAGCCCUGCCCGAGAUAAGUGCUUACAUUAUUUUAUUUUAGCCCUUUAAACGACGACAUCGGUCGUUGCUCUUAUUUCUAACGGAUUUUAUGAUUCGAUGUCGUAACCCGGGAGCUCGACGAUGCGGGAGAUUUCAUUUCUCGCUAGCUUAAAUUUAGAAUCCUAGUAUGGGACUUAAAUCUAGGCACGCUGGUGAAUCUGUCAGCCACAAUCGCCUCCGACUCGGAUGCACUUCUGAAAGGCAGCAUAAGCAAGACUCGGAAAUUUCUUUGCUGGCCCCCAUUCUCGUCUAAGAAUUCUAAAAAAAAUCAAGAAUAAUUACGCUUUUUUAAAAUUAAAAAAAAAUAAUUUAUUAAAAUUAUUUUAAAAAAAUGAUUAGUAGAAAUGAGAGUAAGAGUGCUUAGCUAAACUUGGUUUGGUUUAAUGUUUGUCUGGAAAAUUUGCGAAACAAGUAAUCACCAGCAAUAAUAAUUUCUAUUGGUAUACUAGCAUUCCGAAAACAUUCCCUCGUCGCCAGUUGUUGUGUCUGACUUCCGUUCACUGAACUAGAUUGAACAUUUCCAUUUUUCUGAUGUUUGGUUCUGUAAUGAAACUUUUUUCUCGACUGAUGAAAGUUUUGAUUUUGAUCUGAUAAAAUAAAUAAAAUUUCAAUAAUGUAGAAUGAUUAUAAGGCACUUUCGCAACGCAAGCGUAGUGUUGUUUUAUCGGCAAGUUUAAUUUCUAUUAAAAUUUGAAUUAAUAUAAGCGGAAAACUCCCUCGUCGCCACUUUUUUGUAUCACUUUGACUAUCACUAUCACUUUUCGCGUCUUAUUCCGUUAGCGGUUUAUAUUGUGGUGUACUUCUCUACUUUUACUAUUUACUAUUUAUUACUUCUUCUCAUUGAGUUCUGAUUUUUCUUCUUCUUCUUCUACAUAAUUUACCCAGGUUAGCGGAUCGUCUCCUGGUAGAUCUUUUAUUCUUUUAAUUAGAUCAUUCCACUUAGGGCAUGAAUUUUUCUCAAGGGUGGCAAUCAUUGAGAACAUUCACCUGCGCAUCUUCUCUUUGAUGCGCUUGUUUAGAUUAGUUUACUACUUCCCAUUAUGGGCACGUUUAUCAAUCAAUAGCGGUUCAUAUUAUACACUCAAUGUAUAGGGUGUUGCACAUUGCAGUAGCACUAGCUUAUUAUUUUUUUUGUUGGCUUUAUGGUAAUGUUCCUUAAAUUUCACUGUAUUUUCUGUAUACAGUUUUUCACACAUGGAUGGUAUUCUUUGCCAUCUCGUUCGACGCUAUAAUUUCAUUUUAGCAAGCUACUACUUUCUUCGCAAUCACUAAAGUAUGUUCACUAACUGAUUUUCGUUGCUGGCCCGUAACACUUGUCAACGGUUCGCCAUGUGGUGUACUUCUCUAUUUGUUUAAAUAAAAGUAGUGUUCGUAUGGCUCGUCCAAGCUGGACUGACUUUAUUUCAAAUCCUAAAGUAACCUUACUUAAUGAUUCCCUAUGUGACGUAUUUGGAGUAAGCAGAGAGUAUGCGAGAGAGAGAGAGAGAGAGAGAGAGAGAGAGAGAGAGGAGAAGGUCUAUAGAAUAUUCUCACAGCUGUCAUAAAUUUGGGACCGUUGGCCUGCCGCUUUAUGCAGUCCUAGCAAUUAUAUAAUUUAUUGUUUGUGCUUGCGCGGAGGUCUUUGGCCAGAGUAAUUGUACUGACAAUGCCGAUGGCACGAUGGCAUUGCAAUAUGUUGGUAAAAUGCGAGAGGCGCAUUUUGUUAGGGUUAUUGGACGUGAAUUCCGAACACGUGAAACGGUUGUAAGCCUUGGUGAAGAAUAUUAACAUUUGGAAUUUCGGAAAGGAUCUAGGCUAUUAUAUUACAAUAUUACACUUAUUCGUUUCGUUACUUCAUUUACAUGUACAUGUACAGAUCUCUUGACCGAUUGAGGAUUGACGUAGGACUAUUGAGGUCGGAACUGACUUGUUCUAGGAUGUUUGAGGAUUAUGCGGGUGUUUUCUUUUCCACAAUUAGAAAAUAGUAGAUUUUUUUCUUCUGUUCUUCUUUAAAUUUUCUUUUAUUUCUGCAAAACUGUUUUUAGACUUUUCUAUCAGCCACAAUUACAGGAUUAUUUCUUAUACAGAUAUUGUACACUUAUUGGUAUUACUUGAAAACGAUUACUAACACAUUGACCACUGACUGACGGACUACUAUCCGUACACUAUCCGAUAUCUGACUGACUGACUUCUAACUCUUCCCAACUAUGGGUUUUUAAGCUACUAACAUUUACUUUCGGGUGAAGCCCGAAGAUUUUAGUACAAGCAGAGCUCCCGAAGUUCUACCAAAAUUACCGAGAGCCGCGAACCGAAACCACUGUCACUAUGUCAAUGACAGUGUCCGGUGCCCGUGAAAAGAUAUUUUAUUUUUUUUGUGUUGCAGUUCGUCGCCGUUACACUGACGUGAAGGCUUGCCUAAAAGGUGACGAGUUUUUCUAUCACGGCUGGGUUGCUAUUCUUACAAUGCUGCAAGUUCAAUGAGAUUCAAUGAAAGACUUUUGUGAGGGCGCUGCAGUUAACUUGCGAACGUGGGAUUGGACUGCGCCAUAUUAAUCUCAAUUAGUCGUUGUGAACCAAAAUAGGGCCGCGGACAAAGUUUCAUCUUUAUGUCUAUUCCAGUCUGGUUCGCCGGCCAUCGGUAUCAAUUUUUUCGUACUCCCGUCAUCCAGUCGCGACUCUGACAUAACCCUCCCGUCUUUUUUUUUGUAUUGGUUGCUAAAGGAUGGGAAUCGACCACUUUAAUUUUCUAUUAAAUCAUUUAAAUGUCGAAGAAAAGCUCUCUCGUCGCCACUGUAUUGUCCAGGCUUGUGUACCGAUUGUUAUAUUUUUGAUUGUUUGUACGAAUAGUUAUUUUACUUUAACCUUUUUUUUCCUUGCGCUUAACUAGCGCCACAAUAGUUCGAAGAACUUCAGCGUGCCUUACUAGGUUGUGGAAAGUCUUAUCGUCAAUGAUUUCUUGUUCCUUUAUAAAUAAAUUUUCAAGGUCUAUUUUUAAUUCUUGACAUUGAUUUAAUUUUUCUUCAAGUAAUUUUUCUGAUAGU